CCUACGGGUGGCAGCAGUGAGGAAUAUUGGUCAAUGGACGAGAGUCUGAACCAGCCAAGUAGCGUGAAGGAUGACUGCCCUAUGGGUUGUAAACUUCUUUUAUAAAGGAAUAAAACGAGGCACGUGUGCCUUUUUGCAUGUACUUUAUGAAUAAGGAUCGGCUAACUCCGUGCCAGCAGCCGCGGUAAUACGGAGGAUCCGAGCGUUAUCCGGAUUUAUUGGGUUUAAAGGGAGCGUAGAUGGGUUGUUAAGUCAGUUGUGAAAGUUUGCGGCUCAACCGUAAAAUUACAAUUGAUACUGGCAGUCGUGAGUACAGUUGAGGUAGACGGAAUUCGUGGUGUAGCGGUGAAAUGCUUAGAUAUCACGAAGAACCCCGAUUGCGAAGGCAGCUUACUAAACUGUGACUGACAUUGAUGCUCGAAAGUGUGGGUAUCAAACAGGAUUAGAUACCCUAGUAGU
rnacentral:rRNA from 1 species